GGCGGAUCCAGGAUGUGUGGAUAGGGGGUGCUCACUUUCUUCUUCCUUCUCUUCUUUUCUUCUUCUUCCUCAUUUCCUUCUUCCUUCUCUUCACCCAUGGCUGAAAAUUGGGGGUGGGGAGCGCGCGCACACACCAAGCCCCCACGCUGGAUCCGUCCCUGGGGCUAGGGGCGCAUAAUCCCACCACGCCACAACCCUAGCCACCACUUCCUCUCGGCCUGAGCCCGAGACCCUUGCCACGCGUGCGGUGCUAGCACACCAGUGCACAACGUUCCUUCCCCGUACGUGUGGACUCCGUGGAGGCACUGCUGCUGUGCUGAUCGGCUACUGCAGCUGCUGAGGCGAGGAUGAGGAGAAGACGAUCGUGAUCAAUUACUUCCUCUACACCAACACGCAUCUACGUUGGACCGGCUGCUCCAACUCUUCUGCUGCGCUGUGCGUCUAUCGUAAGUUUUCUAGACGAUGCGGUAGAUAUUUUGCUAGAGUAGUCUGUCCGUUUCCCUACAGCAGCAGGGGCGAGCUAUGGACCAACUAUAAGUUCAUCUCACACUUUCUCCAUCAUGCUGUUUGUAGAGAAAGGGACUUGUCUUCUUACAGAAGGAUGGAAGAUGCAACCUGAGCCUGACUGAUGGAUACGAGACAGCUACAUUGCUACCACCAUUAACUUUUAAUAAGUACCUUAAUGGGUGUCCUCAGGGGUAUAAACAGACCACACCAAGCUGUAAGACCCGUAGCAACUCAUGCUUUGUGUAAAAAGGUUAACGACGAAGCAUCGUACCAAUAAGAAAAGCGCAAGGUUGAAGUCAAUAUGCAAAAUUAUACAGAGUCCCACAAUUGCAGUGAUAUUUUAUCAAUUCAUUUAUAUUCUCUGUAAUUGCAACUGGAUGUUCUAAGACACGUCCUGAGACGGCAA
rnacentral:lncRNA from 1 species